AGAGCAAGAGGGAGGGCAGGUGUUGAAUCUUUGAGCAGAUGAAAGGCUUAGUAUUCCUAGUACAAUAUAUUUUUCUUUUCAAAAAUGUAUGUAUGCGGUGUUGUAGCAUUUUGGAUCAGUUACUGAAAAAUUUAACUUGUGUAGGGAGGUUUAUGGCCAAACUUUCUUGUAACCGUAUAUGAACACUUUCAAGAAUGUAAAAUGUUUUCUGAAAACAGUGACCUAAGAGUUUAGCGAGGUGUCAGAUUAUUUUGGUUUGUCAAAAACUUUUGUAACCGUUAAUGUAAUAUAUAACCUUCAAUGAAUUAUGUAACCAUUUUUCAAAUUUGUCGGUUACAGAAAAGUUUAGCUUGUUUUGGGGAGGUCUUGUGGCUAAACUUUCUUGUAACCAUAUAUG
rnacentral:lncRNA from 1 species